rnacentral:rRNA from 1 species
UACGUAGGGUGCGAGCGUUAAUCGGAAUUACUGGGCGUAAAGCGUGCGCAGGCGGCUUUGUAAGUCAGAUGUGAAAGUCCCGGGCUCAACCUGGGAAUUGCAUUUGAAACUGCAAGGCUAGAGUGUGUCAGAGGGGGGUAGAAUUCCACGUGUAGCAGUGAAAUGCGUAGAGAUGUGGAGGAAUACCGAUGGCGAAGGCAGCCCCCUGGGAUAACACUGACGCUCAUGCACGAAAGCGUGGGGAGCAAACAGG